UACGGAGGGGGCGAGCGUUAUUCGGAAUUAUUGGGCGUAAAGGGCGCGUAGGCGGCCCGGUAAGUCAAAGGUGAAAUCCCUCGGCUCAACUGAGGAACUGCCUUUGAAACUGUCAGGCUUGAGGCCGGGAGGGGGUAGCGGAAUUCCCAGUGUAGCGGUGAAAUGCGUAGAUAUUGGGAGGAACACCGGUGGCGAAGGCGGCUACCUGGACCAUAACUGACGCUGAGGCACGAAAGCGUGGGUAGCAAACAGG
rnacentral:rRNA from 1 species